GUGGUACCUGUUGUAGACUGAGGAUGAGGUGUGUGUGUGUGUGUGUGUGGUACCUGUUGUAGACUGAGGAUGAGGUGUGUGUGUGUGUGUGUGUGGUACCUGUUGUAGACUGAGGAUGAGGUGUGUGUGUGUGUGUGUGGUACCUGUUGUAGACUGAGGAUGAGGUGUGUGUGUGUGUGUGGUACCUGUUGUAGACUGAGGAUGAGGUGUGUGUGUGUGUGGUACCUGUUGUAGACUGAGGAUGAGGGGUGUGUGUGUGGUACCUGUUGUAGACUGAGGAUGAGGGGUGUGUGUGUGGUACCUGUUGUAGACUGAGGAUGAGGUGUGUGUGUGUGGUACCUGUUGUAGACUGAGGAUGAGGGGUGUGUGUGUGGUACCUGUUGUAGACUGAGGAUGAGGGGUGUGUGUGUG